rnacentral:rRNA from 1 species
AUUGAACGCUGGCGGCAUGCCUUACACAUGCAAGUCGAACGGUAACAGGUCUUCGGAUGCUGACGAGUGGCGAACGAGUGAGUAAUACAUCGGAACGUGCCCGAGAGUGGGGGGUAACGAGGCGAAAGCUUUGCUAAUACCGCAUACGAUCUCAGGAUGAAAGCAGGGGACCGCAAGGCCUUGCGCUCACGGAGCGGCCGAUGGCAGAUUAGGUAGUUGGUGGGAUAAAAGCUUACCAAGCCGACGAUCUGUAGCUGGUCUGAGAGGACGACCAGCCACACUGGGACUGAGACACGGCCCAGACUCCUACGGGAGGCAGCAGUGGGGAAUUUUGGACAAUGGGCGCAAGCCUGAUCCAGCCAUGCCGCGUGCAGGAUGAAGGCCUUCGGGUUGUAAACUGCUUUUGUACGGAACGAAAAGACUCCUUCUAAUAAAGGGGGUCCAUGACGGUACCGUAAGAAUAAGCACCGGCUAACUACGUGCCAGCCGCCGCCGUAAUAC